ACCUGGUUGGCUCGGUCAAUGGAGCACAUGACUCUUGACCUUGGGGAUGUGGGUUUGAGCCCCACAUUGGGUG
rnacentral:tRNA from 1 species